GUAGGUUUGUUGAACAUGAGUGGAAAUGAAACUCCAGCACACUGGUAGCACUAUAGAUGUGUGAGUAUAACUUUUCCAGGUGAGUUGAACCUGCCUGUGGGUGCAGUGGGGAUAUUCCUGGGAGGUCUACUGAUGAAGAGGUAUAAGCUUGGCGUUGUGUCUGGAGCCCAGCUGUUUUUCGUCACCUCCUUCAUGGCCUACCUCCUCCGUCUGCAGUCUGGCACUAAGUGUGACAACGUUCAGGUGGCUGGUCUGACCGUGUCCUACAACGGGCCCCCUGGUGUACGAUGGCAGCCUGUUGUCAGAGUGUAACAGAGACUGCUCCUGCUUGGCUGGGGAGUGGGACCCUGUGUGUUCAGACAACGGCAUCACCUACACCUCCCCCUGCCUCGCAGGCUGCUCCAGCUUUACAGGUUACGGCAAGAACACGAGUGAUCUUCCUUGGCCUCAUCACAUGUCUCAGUGGCUCCUCCUUAGGAGGGAGGGGGACACCACCACGG